UAAGGAGGGUGCAAGCGUUAAUCGGAAUUACUGGGCGUAAAGCGCACGUAGGUGGUUUGUUAAGCUAGCUGUGAAAUCCCCGGGCUCAACCUGGGCACUGCAGUUAGAACUGGCAAGCUAGAGUAGGGUAGAGGGGUGUGGAAUUCCAGGUGUAGCGGUGAAAUGCGUAGAUAUCUGGAGGAACAUCAGUGGCGAAGGCGACACCCUGGACUCAUACUGACACUGAGGUGCGAAAGCGUGGGGAGCAAACAGG
rnacentral:rRNA from 1 species